rnacentral:rRNA from 1 species
CAUCUCCUACGGGGAGCAGCAGUAGGGAAUCUUCGGCAAUGGGGGCAACCCUGACCGAGCAACGCCGCGUGAGUGAAGAAGGUUUUCGGAUCGUAAAGCUCUGUUGUAAGAGAAGAACGUGUGUGAGAGUGGAAAGUUCACACAGUGACGGUAACUUACCAGAAAGGGACGGCUAACUACGUGCCAGCAGCCGCGGUAAUACGUAGGUGGCGAGCGUUAUCCGGAAUGAUUGGGCGUAAAGGGUGCGCAGGCGGUCCUGCAAGUCUGGAGUGAAACGCAUGAGCUCAACUCAUGCAUGGCUUUGG